rnacentral:lncRNA from 1 species
CCNCCCCCCCCCUCUCCAUAUUUAUUAGCCCUGCAGCUUAGAAUUCAAUUAAGACACUCAAAUUAUGGAUUUUGUAGUUCCAAAGAAGCUCCCCUCCCCUCCCUCCUCUCCCGUCUAUCGCCGCGGCGAAGAAACCGCGGCGGUGGCCGAAAACAGCAGCCCAGUGUCGAGCCGCCUCUACCUCAAACCGACCGAAUCCGGUUGGUCGACGUCGCUCGAUAAGGAUGCAGUUCUCCAACGCAUCCGCCACCGUAAACGCGCCAACCGUGUCCGUAACGCACUUCACUCCUUUCUGAUGCACGAGAGGGACGUCGGCGUCGGUGAGCCACCUCUCGGGUGGCUCGACGACGCCUUCUCGUCGCCGUGAUCGGUCGGUUUCGGGUGCGGAUCGGGUCAUGUUCGUUUUUUGUACAUUGUCUAGCUAGCUAGUAGAAUAUAUAUGAGGCCUCAUCAGAGAGCAACGGAGUUGUCUAAAUGGUUGUUAUAUCUUUAAUUAAGUAAUUACAUGUUUAAUGAAUCGUUAAUUUGUGUUAUUUAAAUGUAUAUAUAUACCAGUGGCUUCUUAUCAUUAUCUUAUUAAAUGAUUAAAAAAAAAGGACCUACUUUAAAAAAUGUGCAAUUGACGGACCCGAGCUUCGUUCAGAGAACCAAAUUACGAGCAUAUUUAAUACUUGGUUUUUUUUUUUUAAUCUCCGAGUUUAACUAAUAAGUGAGGGGCUUAAUUACUAAAGCGAUUAAAAAAAGGCACAAAGUAGUACUAACUAGCUGUGAUGCAAAUGGUGUGAUCUGGAGCGAUGCGCAAAAUUGAAAUAACCGAUGAAAUUGAAUCUUCAAAU